UACAGAGGUGGCAAGCGUUGUUCGGAAUUACUGGGCGUAAAGGGCGCGUAGGCGGCCUUCUAAGUCAGACGUGAAAUCCCCCGGCUUAACCUGGGAACUGCGUCUGAUACUGGAGGGCUUGAGUAUGGGAGAGGGAUGUAGAAUUCCAGGUGUAGCGGUGAAAUGCGUAGAUAUCUGGAGGAAUACCGGUGGCGAAGGCGCAUCCUGGACCAUACUGACGCUGAGGAGCGAAAGCCAGGGGAGCAAACGGG
rnacentral:rRNA from 1 species